GACGAACGCUGGCGGCGUGCUUAACACAUGCAAGUGGAGCGACGAACCAGGGCUUGCCCUGGGGCAGAGCCGCGAACGGGUGAGUAACACGUGGGUAACCUACCCUGAUGACCGGGACAACCCGAGGAAACUCGGGCUAAUACCGGAUGAAUUCGCAUGACAUCAGCUGUGCGAGAAAAGGUAGCUUCGGCUUCCGCAUUGGGAUGGGCCCGCGGCCCAUUAGCUUGNGGUGAGGUAACGGCUCACCAAGGCUACGAUGGGUAGCUGGUCUGAGAGGACGAUCAGCCACACUGGGACUGAGACACGGGCCCAGACUCCUACGGGAGGCAGCAGUGGGGAAUCUUGCGCAAUGCGCGAAAAGCGUGACGCAGCAACGCCGCG
rnacentral:rRNA from 1 species